rnacentral:rRNA from 1 species
CAGCAGCACGGGCUUCGGCCUGGUGGCGAGUGGCGAACGGGUGAGUAAUACAUCGGAACGUGCCCUGUAGUGGGGGAUAACUAGUCGAAAGAUUAGCUAAUACCGCAUACGACCUGAGGGUGAAAGCGGGGGACCGUAAGGCCUCGCGCUACAGGAGCGGCCGAUGUCUGAUUAGCUAGUUGGUGGGGUAAAAGCCUACCAAGGCGACGAUCAGUAGCUGGUCUGAGAGGACGAUCAGCCACACUGGGACUGAGACACGGCCCAGACUCCUACGGGAGGCAGCAGUGGGGAAUUUUGGACAAUGGGGGCAACCCUGAUCCAGCAAUGCCGCGUGUGUGAAGAAGGCCUUCGGGUUGUAAAGCACUUUUGUCCGGAAAGAAAUGGCUCUGGUUAAUACCCGGGGUCGAUGACGGUACCGGAAGAAUAAGCACCGGCUAACUACGUGCCAGCAGCCGCGGUAAUACGUAGGGUGCGAGCGUUAAUCGGAAUUACUGGGCGUAAAGCGUGCGCAGGCGGUUUUGUAAGACAGGCGUGAAAUCCCCGAGCUCAACUUGGGAAUGGCGCUUGUGACUGCAAGGCUAGAGUAUGUCAGAGGGGGGUAGAAUUCCACGUGUAGCAGUGAAAUGCGUAGAGAUGUGGAGGAAUACCGAUGGCGAAGGCAGCCCCCUGGGACGUCACUGACGCUCAUGCACGAAAGCGUGGGGAGCAAACAGGAUUAGAUACCCUGGUAGUCCACGCCCUAAACGAUGUCAACUAGUUGUUGGGGAUUCAUUUCUUCAGUAACGUAGCUAACGCGUGAAGUUGACCGCCUGGGGAGUACGGUCGCAAGAUUAAAACUCAAAGGAAUUGAC